rfam:Felis catus isolate Cinnamon breed Abyssinian chromosome B2, whole genome shotgun sequence.
GCCUGGGUGGCUCAGUCGGUUGAGCAUCUGACUUCAUCUCAGGUCAUGAUCUCGAGGAUCGUGAGUUCGAACCCCACGUUGGGCU